rnacentral:rRNA from 1 species
UAUAUAAUAUAUAAUAUUUUAUUAAUAUUUAUAUUAAAUAUAUAUAAGAAAUAAUAUUAAUUAAUGCGAAGUUGAAAUACAGUUACUGUAGGGGAACCUGCAGUGGGCUUAUAAUAUACUUUAAUAUUCCAUACAUAAUAUAAUAUAUAUAUAUAUAUAUCAUAAAUUAUAUAUAUUUUAUAUAUUCC